ACAAAAGCUGUUGCAGUUAAAAGCUCGUAGUUGGAUUUCGGGUGGGGUGGUGCGGUCCGCCUCUGGUGUGCACUGCUCUGCUCCACCUUCCUGCCGGGGACGGGCUCCUGGGCUUCACUGUCUGGGACUCGGAGUCGGCGAGGUUACUUUGAGUAAAUUAGAGUGUUCAAAGCAGGCCUACGCUCUGAAUACAUUAGCAUGGAAUAACACGAUAGGACUCUGGCCUAUCUGUUGGUCUGUGGGACCGGAGUAAUGAUUAAGAGGGGUAGUCGGGGGCAUUCGUAUUCCGUUGUCAGAGGUGAAAUUCUUGGAUUUACGGAAGACGAACAUCUGCGAAAGCAUUUGCCAAGGAUACUUUCAUUGAUCAAGAACGAAAGUUGGGGGCUCGAAGAAA
rnacentral:rRNA from 1 species